AGAGUUUGAUCCUGGCUCAGAACGAACGCUGGCGGCGUGCCUAACACAUGCAAGUCGAGCGAGAAAGUCCCCGCAAGGGGAUGAGUACAGCGGCGAACGGGUGAGUAACACGUGGGCAACCUGCCCUUCAGUCAGGAAUAACCCCGCGAAAGCGGGGCUAAUACCAGGUAACGUCCCUUGAGGGCAUCUUCGGGGGACCAUAGGGGGCGAGCGCAAGCGGCUCCCGCUGAAGGAUGGGCCUGCGGCUGAUUAGCUAGUUGGUGGGGUAACGGCCUACCAAGGCGACGAUCAGUAGCCGACCUGAGAGGGUGACCGGCCACACUGGGACUGAGACACGGCCCAGACUCCUACGGGAGGCAGCAGUGGGGAAUAUUGCGCAAUGGGCGAAAGCCUGACGCAGCGACGCCGCGUGGGUGAUGAAGGCCUUCGGGUUGUAAAGCCCUGUCGGGUGGAACGAAUCCCCCGCGGAAUAAUACUCCGCGGGAUUGACGGUACCACCGAAGGAAGCCCCGGCUAACUACGUGCCAGCAGCCGCGGUAAUACGUAGGGGGCGAGCGUUGUUCGGAUUUACUGGGCGUAAAGAGCGCGUAGGUGGUUCGACAAGUCGGAGGUGAAAUCCCUCGGCUCAACCGAGGACCCGCGUCCGAUACUAUCGAACUUGAGUGCAGGAGAGGAGAGCGGAAUUCCGAGUGUAGCGGUGAAAUGCGUAGAUAUUCGGAGGAACACCGGUGGCGAAGGCGGCUCUCUGGACUGCUACUGACACUGAGGCGCGAAAGCUAGGGGAGCAAACGGGAUUAGAUACCCUGGUAGUCC
rnacentral:rRNA from 1 species